UACGUAGGGUGCGAGCGUUUGUCCGGAAUUAUUGGGCGUAAAGGGCUCGUAGGCGGUCUGUCGCGUCGGGAGUGAAAACUCAGGGCUUAACCCUGAGCCUGCUUCCGAUACGGGCAGACUAGAGGUAUGCAGGGGAGAACGGAAUUCCUGGUGUAGCGGUGAAAUGCGCAGAUAUCAGGAGGAACACCGGUGGCGAAGGCGGUUCUCUGGGCAUUACCUGACGCUGAGGAGCGAAAGUGUGGGGAGCGAACAGG
rnacentral:rRNA from 1 species